rnacentral:rRNA from 1 species
AUGCGUAUCUUUGUCAAGACCCCCACCGGCAGGACAAUCUGCCUCAAGGUCCACUCAUCAGACACCCUGUACACUGUCAAGGCAAAGAUCCAGCAGCAGUACCGCCUCUUCUUCGAUGGGGUGCAGCUAGAAGACAACCGUACAUUGGCCGAUUAUGGCAUCCAGCAUGACUCUACGAUUGACCUCCAGGAAAAGAUGCAAAUCUACGUGACAGAGACGCGGGCAGGCAGGACCAUUGCCCUUGAGGUUGACAGCCUAGACACCAUCGGUAACGUAAAGUCCAAGAUCCAGGACAUGGAGGGUUUUCCCAAGGGCCAGCAGUGCCUCAUUUUCGCCAACAAACAGCUGGAGGAUGACAACCGCAGCUUGGCUGACCACAAUAUCUGGAAGGAGUCCACCCUCCUCCUCGUUCUCCGUCCCUGUAGGCCAGGAGAAAGUAGGAUGAUGCACAUCAUUGUCAAGACUCUGUACGGGAAGACCCUCACCCUUGAGGUUGAGAGCUCGUAUACCAUCGAGAAUGUCAAGAUGAAGUUCUACGAGCAGGAAGGCACUCCCCCUAUGCAGCAGCGCAUCAUCUUUGCUGGCAAGCAGCUGGAGGACGACCGCACCCUCGCGGACUACAACAUUCAGACAGAAACUACCGUUGUUAUGGUGAAACGCCUUUGUGGUUGCUGA